rnacentral:rRNA from 1 species
GAUGAACGCUGGCGGCGUGCCUAAUACAUGCCAGUCGAGCGAACGGACGAGAAGCUUGCUUUUCUGAUGUUAGCGGCGGACGGGUGAGUAACACGUGGAUAACCUACCUAUAACACUGGGAUAACUUCGGGAAACCGGAGCUAAUACCGGAUAAUAUUUUGAACCGCAUGGUUCAAAAGUGAAAGACGGUCUUGCUGUCACUUAUAGAUGGAUCCGCGCUGCAUUAGCUAGUUGGUAAGGUAACGGCUUACCAAGGCAACGAUGCAUAGCCGACCUGAGAGGGUGAUCGGCCACACUGGAACUGAGACACGGUCCAGACUCCUACGGGAGGCAGCAGUAGGGAAUCUUCCGCAAUGGGCGAAAGCCUGACGGAGCAACGCCGCGUGAGUGAUGAAGGUCUUCGGAUCGUAAAACUCUGUUAUUAGGGAAGAACAUAUGUGUAAGUAACUGUGCACAUCUUGACGGUACCUAAUCAGAAAGCCACGGCUAACUACGUG